rnacentral:misc_RNA from 1 species
UACCACCAGAUGGCCAGCCAAAAAGAC